UGCAGCUGCUCAGUCCCCCAGUCUGUGCUGGAGGAUGAGGUUGUUCCCCCCACUGUAGGACUUUGCACUUUUCUUUGCUGAAUUUCUUGAGAGUCUUGUUUGCCCAUUUCUCCAGCCUGCUGAGGUCCCUCUGAAUGGUUUGCUGAGGGUGUGAUCUGUCCCACCUCUGGGUUGUUAGUAAAAUCAUGCAAGAGUGUGGAGCCCAGUGCAGGCCCUGGGGUGCACUGGUAGUGACUGCAUCCAGCAGGACAUUCUGCCACUGAUCACAACAAUCCUCAGCAGUUCAGCCAGUUUCAGAAUGUCUUCAGUCUCCUGCUUCACAGUUUAGGAGGAAUGUGUAGGUUUAGAAUGGCCUAAAAUGCCCUGGAAAAGCAUGUAUGGUGAUAUUUAUAUUGAUUUUUUUAAUAAAUCUUGUGUCAGACUUUUAAGCAAGAAAGUGAAUUUACAGGUUUUUCAAAGGCAUUUCAUAAGACAUAGUUGUACAAUCAGCAUCCUUUUUUUUUUCUGUUUUCUCUUGACAUUACUUAGCAUAGAAUCUUCCAGGAGUUUUGCUAACUGAUUUUUGGAAAAAAAAAAAGAAAAUUCUUAUAUAGCAGUAUUUUGGCACUUUUCUUAAGAAUAUGUUGUAUGUCAACUACAAAACGUAAUCACAAUCUACUGUGUAGCUGAUAACAAUACCAGAUUUUGUAAUGUUUUUGGUAAAUACAUUGUUUUUACACUUCUGCUGAAUUAUAAUUCACUACUCUGGAAAUUUUAUUACCUCUCCUGUAAAUAAUUUACAGUUGAUGUUCUUAUGUAAUGAUGUUGUAAUAGCCAACAUUUACAAAUUUGCAACAGUCAUUCCUGUAAUUUACAUUAUUUUGUACUAAUUUUAAAGCAGUUAUGGGGAAAAACAUGAUUGCUGUAUGCAGUUCUGGAUUGACUCUAGAUGUAUUUUUAUAUUGAGAAACAGAAGAUAUAUAAAUGCAGUGCAAAAGAAACCCAGAUGUUUCCCUGACUUUCUGCUGUGUAAAAGAAUUAUUCAUCUUGAUUGUCAUACCAUUCUUGUCUUUCUAGUACCUUUUAUUGUAAUCUUACUUGCAUAUUGAAUGUAUUGGUUCUGGAAUUUUAAGUACCUAAAUUACUGAUUGUUAUAAGACUAAAAUGUUCUGAGUCUUAUAUGCCAGGUUACUGUGACAUGUGAAUUUGUCUGGGGCUUUGUUACUGACUGCUUUUGACUUGGGGGAUUCUUGUUUGUCCUACAGAAGUACCACAUCAUGAUAGCUAAAUAAGGACAUCUCCAUCUGUAAACAGUUACUAUCUUAUCUCAUGUAUUCUUGAUGGUGGCAUGGGUUUUGUGUACCAUUUUGAAAAUUUCUGGGCAGAUCCAUUUGGAAGCUACCGGGUUUGAUGCUGUACUUACAUAGUUUAAGGUUUGAGCUGGGUUUGGGGUUUUUUUAAGCUUCACCUUUUGAAGAAUUAACUUCAUUGUCUACUGGGUAUCAGUUCACUUGUAUGGCAGCUAUGAGUACAUCCUAAUUGACUGUUAGUAAUUUGAUUUUUAGAGGCUUAAACUGAAAAGUACAGUUCUUGCUAGGUGGCUAAUCCCUAGUCUUAUUUCACAUGAACCAAUAUGUGGGAGAAAGGAAAAGGUUAGUAACCUAAAAAUGACAGCUUGAAGCUUGUGCUUUGUCAGAUGACCUAUUUGGGGGGAAAAAAAGUGGUUGCUAUUGGCAAGUGAGAAAUGUGACUGCUUUCUGCAUGUUUGUAAGCAUGGUAAGCCUGCAAAGAGAAGUUUGGGAGAUACUGGUAAUUUGAAAAUGCAGUAUAAGUAUUUAUCAGUUAGAUGACAUUGAGCACUGAAUUGCAUGGUUGGUGUAUGUCAUAGGCCUCUUUCAAAAGGCCUCAUGUUACUGAUACAACCAUGCUGUUGAAUUGUAUAUUUUUGUGGAACAACUAAUGUUUAAAGUAUUGAGACCAAAAUCACUAGUUAGACCAA